GACGAACGCUGGCGGCGUGCUUAACACAUGCAAAUCGAACGGAAAGACCCUGCUUUUGUGGGGUGCUCGAGUGGCGAACGGGUGAGUAACACGUGAGUAACCUGCCCUUGACUUUGGGAUAACUUCAGGAAACUGGGGCUAAUACCGGAUAGGAGCUCCUGCUGCAUGGUGGGGGUUGGAAAGUUUCGGCGGUUGGGGAUGGACUCGCGGCUUAUCAGCUUGUUGGUGGGGUAGUGGCUUACCAAGGCUUUGACGGGUAGCCGGCCUGAGAGGGUGACCGGCCACAUUGGGACUGAGAUACGGCCCAGACUCCUACGGGAGGCAGCAGUGGGGAAUAUUGCACAAUGGGCGGAAGCCUGAUGCAGCAACGCCGCGUGCGGGAUGACGGCCUUCGGGUUGUAAACCGCUUUCGCCUGUGACGAAGCGUGAGUGACGGUAAUGGGUAAAGAAGCACCGGCUAACUACGUG
rnacentral:rRNA from 1 species